AAAUAAAAGAUUUUUUAUUUUAUCUUUGUGUUACCUCAGCACUUUAAACAAUUAACUAAGAUCUCUUAACAUUUCCACAUGUGUAAACUUUGUUCCGUCUCAACUCUACUGUGGAAGGUUAACAGAACCCCUGUUUAAAGCAAGGGAGUAGUCUCCCCUUCGCCCCUUCCCUUGGGAUCUCUGUCUCUCUCUCCUUCUGUAAAGUAAUGAAGAAUACAUUUUAUAGCCAAGACUUUUUUUUUUUUUCUUGUUCCUCAGAGGAAAGAAUCCUGUGCAUAUAUUCAGAGUUAAAAGGAUAAAGACUCCAAAUCUGGUACAAAGCAGAAACGUGGAUCUGACCUGGGCAAUUUUCAGCCUAAACAAGAUACUCCCAACCAUGGAGACCCAGAGAUAAACUGCAUUUGCUAGAUGCUCAGACAUGAAUUGCCUAUGAAAGUUGCUUUCCCAGCCUGCUGUCUCCUUAGCUAAUUUGGUGCACUUCCUGCUCCUUGUAGCCACUUAGCAAGUAAGAAAAUCUUGAACUAGGCAGCAGUAACGAUUUUUGAGAUGCAUGCAUGUUGUUUCCGGACCAAGUCGGGAUUUUUCAAGUUAGUGCGUUUCUGUCAUCAUUGCUUAUAGACGCGGUUUCCUGGUGGCUCAGAUGAAUGGAGCGAGUUAUGGUUUCAUCACCUUGUGGACUGUAGGAGUGCUAACAACACUGACUCCAUCUUCCGCCCUCCAUCUUGGGCUCCCCUCCAGCACACAGGUGGAAUCAUUCUAGAUAACUAGUAGAGCGCACAGGUGGUACCACUUUAGGUAACUAACUAGCUUGUGAUCUCACCACCAUGCCCCUCACUCCAUAAAAGCUGGGGGUUAAGGUUUGCAGGGGGUUGACAGAGGAUAGGGGCAUCAGGAGAGCUGCAGUAGAGCUGCUUAGGACCCUGGAUCAUCAGUCCAUCUGCCCGAUCCCCCCGGUCAUUUGAGAGAGCCCGGGGGGCCGCUUUGGAGCCCUCUGUGACAUGCCACGGCAGCUGCAAGGAGGCUUCCUUCUCCAGAUGAUAGCCCCAAAUAUCACGCAACAGCGUCUCUGUUCAAGUGAAAGUUCAACAAUUCUAGUUUGGAAUUAUCCGCUGGUGAUGAAAUUCUCAGAUUCAAAGGUCAGGCUGCCUGCGGAUAUAGCCCCUUGCCUCGGCUGCCUUAUUGCCAGUUACAUUAAACACAGUCUAUGACAAGAGUUUAUUGAUACUCUACGGCAGUCAACAUCCGCUGAUGAUGGUGGACGUCAUCCUACACAAUAACCCUUCUCUCCCUGGUCUCUCUCACACCAGCCAUGAAGGGUUUCGAAGCCACACGGCACAAUCGAGGGAGCACGACACACAGCUUAGCGACCGUGAUCUGUGAACCUCUCCUCGCUGGAACCUUCUCAGGCAGUCACAGCAUCACUGCCGCUGCACCUCAGGAGACAGAGCCAGAGGAUGAUGGAGCUGUGUUGCACAGGGGCCUCGGCCACCUGCUGCUCAGAGUCUCCAUGAAUCCCCUGCAGAAGGCUGUGGAGAGAGGCACUUGACCUUCCCUUAGAUCGGAAGAGGGAAGAGCCAGGGACUAGUGUUGGAAUGAGUGUCCAUUCGAGCUGGGGUGGGGGUGGGGGGUUCACCUUUGCCCUUGGAAGAAAAGGAAGUUUUUGAAGCCUCAAUAAAGCUUCUGUUCAUGAUCAAACCCCAGCAGGCCUUUAUGAUAAUUUUUAUAACUUCUUCACCCAAAACUCUGGGUGCUUUGAAGGUUAAUAACUCGUGUUUAUCAAAAACUCCCCUUCAAGGAACUUGGGGAGCCUUGUAGACAUUAUCUAAUUCAGAAGCACCACAGCAUGAGGGAACGGGAGAUGGGGAGAGGACGAACAGCCAAGAUUAUUCCAAUGUAGGAGGACUAAUAAUAUUAAUAGCUCCAACAUGGAGUUUAAGUGAGUUUUAGAAAAAUCACAAAGCAAGUCUUGAGCCAUCCGGAAAGAGGUCUCUUUAUGUCCCCUCAGACUACCUUCUGGCUCCACUGCUGUGAGCUGGAGGCAGCUGGAAACUCACUGGCUCAUCAUAAAAGGGGACAAGAAGUCCUACUUCUUGGCAUUGUUGUGGUGUUUAGUAAGGUAAAGGGGUAAAGGCAAUGGCGCACUGCUUGGCACAUGGUUAAUGCUCGGCGAGCAUUGCCUCCUCUCGCACUCUCUGUAGGGAGUUGCAGGAUACCAUUAUGGCGGACUAGGGGUGAGGAGGGGGCAAUGGGCCGUGUACCUUGUACUCUGCUGAGCGUACUAAGAGUAGGGAUACUGGAGGUUGUCUGCGGAGGAGGAGACGGUGGCCAUUUCUCUUCUCCAGAAACUUUGACAUCUGAAGUCCACAGCCUGGUUUUGUGAGAAGACUGACCCUACCUCCCCCAUAUCUGGAACAAAAGGAGAACAUGUCCUCUGAGUGAGAGUGAAAUGGAGAUGUGAAGCAAUUUUAUGGUUCAUUAGGGAUGAAAAAAGUGUCUCUGCCUGAAUUGUCUUUGGGGGGUUGAGUCAUUCGUGGAGGCUUACAGUUCUCAGCUAGUUUUACCUAUCUUCUAUUUUGUUCCCACUGGAAGAGGAAGCCUCUAUGAGAAGGCCCUUGGCCUGUGCCUGCUUUGGAGCACUCCAGAAUGGCAACAGACUUCCAAUUUUAGAGCAGGGCACGGCUUGAGAGAGUUCUCUCUCUCAAGACCCACAAAUAAGGAUGUGUUAUGCGCAAUGCUCUUAAGCAGCUGUGGCCUUUUGGGGACUUAAAGCCGUAGGAGAAGAGAAAAAGGAAGAACUCAUAAAACCAAAGGAUCUUGAGGAGUUCUACCGGGGUCCUCUCGACUGACCGAUGUGGGGAGUCAGGAAAUGCACUGCUCUUACCCAGGCUCCCCCAUUGCCCAUUCUGAACAAGACUCGGGUAAGGAAGAGAAGGAGGCUUCUGUAAGUUCCUCUGUUGGGUGGGUCCCUCCUCAUUUUAGGCCCUGCCCAUCCUUGAGAAUCUAUGGGAGAACGGUGAGAGGCAGAAGCUUUUGUAUGGCAGCCAGAGGCCUUGAGGUCCCUUUCGGUCCCCCUCCGUGAGCUCAUCUGUCUGUGGCACCCUUGAGCCGUGAGGGCUGUGUGCUAGGCAUCUUGCCACCGAUGGUGUGGCUCAGAU